rnacentral:rRNA from 1 species
UACCGGCGGCUCGAGUGGUGGCCGCUUUUAUUGGGCUUAAAGCGUCUGUAGCUGGAUUGUUAAGUCCCUUGGGAAAUCCGCCGGCUCAACCGGCGGGCGUCUAAGAGAUACUGGCAAUCUAGGGACCGGAAGAGGUGAGAGGUACUCCAGGGGUAGAAGUGAAAUCCUGUAAUCCCUGGGGGACCACCUGUGGCGAAGGCGUCUCACCAGGACGGCUCCGACAGUGAGGGACGAAAGCUGGGGGAGCAAACCGGAUUAGAUACCCGGGUAGUCCCAGCCGUAAACGAUGCGCGUUAGGUGUAUCGGUGACCACGAGUCACCGAGGUGCCGAAGGGAAACCGUGAAACGUGCCGCCUGGGAAGUACGGUCGCAAGGCUGAAACUUAAAGGAUUGGCGGGGAGCACCACAACGGGUGGAGCCUGCGGUUU